GCUGGCCUGGGGACCCGGCGCGGCCGGAGCGCCGAGCGCCAUCACAGGCAAGUGGCAGCGCCCGGCGCGGCUCCUGCGGCCCCCAGCUCCCCGCCUGGGGCCUCUCUGUAGCCUCGGAGGGCGGUGUGGGGCUGUCGGGGCUCCGGGCGAAGCAGUGGUCCCGGCUUUUAAUAUCAGCAGACCUAAAACUYUUUAAUAACUUGUGUUUUAUUCGCCAGCGCAAACCCUUGCUCCUUGCUACUCUGCUGACCUACAGCCAGCGUCAGGCAGACUCAUCUCGGCGGUCAGCUGCACCGUGCUUCUGGCAGUCCCGCCGCUGAACGCCAGCGCCGUUGUGUUCUGGGAGUAUAAAAACGGCCCUCACGAAGAAAUCAUCCUCAAGUAUUAUCUCAAUAAGCCUGUAAAUACUGCUGCUUCCUACAAGAACCGUACAAAGUUCAACGAAACGGAUUUCUCCCUGCAAAUGGUGCUGCAGCGGGGGGACAGCGGAACCUACCGCUUCAGAACGGAGUCACAGGAAACGGACUGGUUCCAACUGGAAGUUAUUGAACCACUGCCUGCRCCAGAAAUCGUGGGCAACUCCUCUGUGAAAGCAGGAGGCAGCAUUAAACUGGUCUGCAACAUCCCGGAGGGGAAGGCAGACUCCUACUGGUGGAAGAAGAAUGGGGAGCUGCUGCUUGGGAGUGACCAUUUCCAGUUUGUUCGAAACAACACGUUGCACAUCAUUGAAGCGACAAUGAACGACAGCGGCUACUAUGCUUGUGUGGUCCGCAACAAAGUGAGCCAGAAUGAAACCUCCUUCCUGCUUCGUGUUCAGAACGCUGCAAAUAUGGUCUUACCUGUGAUGAUGGCAUGCGUUAUCGUUGGCUCUCUAAUAGGUGAGUGUUGUGAUUCACUCUUUACCCUGGCUUUUUGGCUUACUGCGUUAUCACUGAUGGGUACUACAGCAGAUAUCACAAAGAAGAAGGGAUGGGGGAGUGAAGGCAGAGUGGGGGUGUCAGUGCUGAGUGACGUGAUGUGUGUUGGCUGUGCCCCUGGUUUCCCCACCUGGGCACCCUGCAGGGAAGUGGCUGGUGCUUUGUCACUGCUGUCAUUUAAAGCAGGACAUCCCUAG
ensembl:lncRNA HEPACAM family member 2-like